rnacentral:lncRNA from 1 species
AAAAGAUCCGCAAGCUCAUGAAUGGAAGGGGAGGAGUCAUCAUCACUUACAUCGCUAUUUUUCAUACCUUUCGCCAUUAGAAAAAUGUGCGAUGAGCUUGAUGAUGGCAAGAAGGUAUUUGGCUUGCGGUGGGUUUCUUCCUCACUUGAACUUUUCAUAUCAAACUCACCUUUGCAAUGCUUGUGAAGGCCUCCUUCUUGCUUGCCUUCUUCGCCUUCCUCCUCUCCUUUCUCUCUUUCUUCCUUUGCUUGCAUCUCUUCUCCAUCAACGGGCACUACUCAAUAUAGUGUCCCUCCUCACCACAACCAAGACAUUCCUUCUUAUUUUUUCUUAGGUUAUGGUGAACCAACUAUUCCGUAGGGAUACCUUUGGAGUUGAGCUUCUUGAGUAGCUUGUUCACUCCUUUUACAAGUUGCUUGAUUUCUUCAUCAUCGAAGGAGUUGCUACCACUUGCUUGAUCAUCCUCUUCACCUUCUGCCUCAUCAUCACUUUCUUCUUCUUCUUCUUCACUUGAACUUGAAACCUCACUUGAGCUUGAGCGUGAACUUGAUGCUUGCUCUUGAGGUUUCUUUCUUGAUAUGGAAGGUUCUUGCUUAUCUUCUUCCUUCUCCUUCUCCUUCUCUUCUUUGCUUGAUGUGCUAACUGUUGAUGGCAGUUAGCACGCUAGUUUGUGAACUGCAAGCGCACAGAUCAUCGUAGCUUUUCCCUUAGAGUAUUUUUCCAAGAGGUUUAUCAAUCUGUGGAUCGGUAGCGAACUAACUAAGGUUUUCUAUCUAACUCAACGGAUCUAAUCCUAACACGAAGCAUAGAUUGCAUAAGAAGGGUAAACCUAAUAGAUAUGACUAAUAGAGCAUAAAUUGAUCACAACCACAGAUAUAUAUGAGAUAGCAUACCAAGGGUAACAAGGACCUAUCAUCUUCUAGUUGUAUAUCUAGCUAAUAAUCAAGUAAAUUAUGCAUAUCAUUCAAAGCUAUCUUUAAGCUACUACCUCCGGUCAACCUCCCAAAAACC